CAUAUUUACAGCCAGCAACGGUCCACGAUAUGCACCUGACAAGUUGGUAGGGGGAGUUGGAGCGAGCAGUAGAAGGAGGGGGAUUAGUCUUUCAAACAAAGCUUUGAGUUCCUAGUAAAGGAAUCAAACUCCACGACUCCACAGAUCAUCUUCUACUCUCUUCCUUCCUUAAAUACUCUGCCCUGAGACCACCAUGCCAUAAAGAAAUCUGGGCUGAAAGACCACAUGGAGAUAGAAGGGCCCAGCAUCACAGCUACUCAGUCCACAGCUGAUCUUCCAGCAGAAUGCAGGGCUCAGGAUGGACAAGGUAGCCCAGAGCUGGACCAACUGCCAAGAGGAGUCCCUUCUGCCCUCUGCCCUCUCAACAAGCGACUCUUCACGGCUUCUCCUCUUCCCCGGUGACAAUGACAGCCAGCGAUGGGCCGACAGCCUACUCUCAACCUGGCCUGGGUCUGGUGGCCCCAGCGUGAGAUCACCAUAGUGAGCAACCUGGUCUCCAUAGCAACCAGCUGUGACAUCACAAGGAACCCAUGGACCCUGGAGCUGGAAGAGAGGAAGCUUGAAUGCCUGUUUGGGGAAGAAAGCCUUUGCUCCCCCUCCUUCGGCCUCUCCUGUGAUAGGGGAAGAGGACAUAGAAACGCUGAGAGAGCCAGGGCCUCCGCUUCUCUGGAGGUUUGAGCGGGGUCUACUCGAAAUCCUUCCCUUCCUCUCUUUGUCCCCGUUCUCCUCAUCCCUCAAAAAAUAUGUAUCUCAUUUUCCUCAACUGUAAAAUGGGGACAUUAGAAGCCGCUCUUGAGUGUUUAUUAUAUGCCAGGCACUAUUAUAAGCAUCUUGCAUGGAUUUUCUCAUUUACUUCAUAACAACCCUAUAAAGUACUUUCUUCUUAGUAUUCCCCCUUCUGUAAGUGGAGGGAAAGGAAGCACAGCAGAAGGAUUGGAAUCAAGACAGCCUGGCUCCAGAGCCUGUUUUCAUAACUACGAGAGAAUGCACCAGAUUCCUUCUGAACGCCGCCUGCCACGUGCGCGG
rnacentral:lncRNA from 1 species